rnacentral:rRNA from 1 species
AUUGAACGCUGGCGGUAUGCUUAACACAUGCAAGUCGAACGGUAGCAGGCCUUCGGGCGCUGACGAGUGGCGGACGGGUGAGUAACGCGUAGGAAUCUGCCUCAUAGUGGGGGACAACGUGGGGAAACUCACGCUAAUACCGCAUACGCCCUACGGGGGAAAGCGGGGGAUCUUCGGACCUCGCGCUAUGAGAUGAGCCUGCGUUAGAUUAGCUAGUUGGUGGGGUAAAGGCCUACCAAGGCGACGAUCUAUAGCUGGUCUGAGAGGACGAUCAGCCACACUGGGACUGAGACACGGCCCAGACUCCUACGGGAGGCAGCAGUGGGGAAUAUUGGACAAUGGGCGCAAGCCUGAUCCAGCAAUACCGCGUGUGUGAAGAAGGCCCUAGGGUUGUAAAGCACUUUCAAUUGGGAGAAAACCUGCCGGUUAAUACCCGGUAGCUUGACAUUACCAAUAGAAGAAGCACCGGCUAACUCCGUGCCAGCAGCCGCGUAA